rnacentral:rRNA from 1 species
UAGUCCACGCCCUAAACGAUGGAUACUAGUUGUCGGAUUUCCUAAUAGAUUCGGUAACGUAGCUAACGCAUUAAGUAUCCCGCCUGGGGAUUACGGUCGCAAGAUUAAAACUCAAAGGAAUUGACGGGGGCCCGCACAAGCGGUGGAGCAUGUGGUUUAAUUCGAUGCUACGCGAAAAACCUUACCUGGGCUUGACAUCCCGGGCUACCCUGAGAGAUCUGGCUUUCCCUUACGGGACCGAGUGACAGGUGCUGCAUGGCUGUCAUCAGCUCGUGUCGUGAGAUGUUCGGUUAAGUCCGGCAACGAGCGCAACCCACAUCUUUAGUUGCCAGCAGUUCGGCUGGGCACUCUAAAGAAACUGCCCGUGAUAAGCGGGAGGAAGGUGUGGAUGACGUCAAGUCCUCAUGGCCCUUACGGGUUGGGCUACACACGUGCUACAAUGGCAGUGACAAUGGGUUAAUCCCCAAAAACCGUCUCAGUUCGGAUUGGGGUCUGCAACUCGACCCCAUGAAGUCGGAAUCGCU